ensembl:snRNA U6 U6 spliceosomal RNA
GUGCUCACUUGAGCAGCACAUACACUGAAAUUGGAAUGACACCGGGAUUAGCAGGGCCCCUGCGCAAGGAUAACAUGCAAAUUCAUAAAGUGUUCCAUAUUUUU